GUCUCCACUGGCAGCACUUAUCCUGUCCUUGAAACAAUACAGAGAAGAUAGGCAUGGUCCCUGCACAAGUGUGGCAUGGAAUCAUGAAGCAACUGGUCUGGGUUUC